GGGGGGGGGGGGGGGGGGGCGGAGGGGGGGCAGGGGGGAGGAGACGUGCGGGGCUAGUGGCGCACGGGUGCGUAACGCGCGGGAACGUGCCCUUAGGUUCGGAUGCACGUCACGAAAGGGGUGCUAAGACCGGAUGAUGUCGUCGGACCAAAGAUUCAUCGCCUGUGGAUGGGCCCGCGUUGGAUUAGCUUGUUGGUAGGGUAAAAGUCUACCAAGGCGACGAUCCAUAGCUGGUCUGAGAGGAUGAUCAGCCACACUGGGACUGAGACACGGCCCAGACUCCUACGGGAGGCAGCAGUGGGGAAUAUUGGACAGUGGGCGAAAGCCUGAUCCAGCAAUGCCGCGUGAGUGAUGAAGGCCUUAGGGUUGUAAAGCUCUUUUACCCGGGAUGAUAAUGACAGUACCGGGAGAAUAAGCUCCGGCUAACUCCGUG
rnacentral:rRNA from 1 species